rnacentral:misc_RNA from 1 species
GGAAGGAUCAUUAAAGGAUUUUAAUAGAGGUUAUAUAUAUUAUUAUAUACCUCUAUAAUCUCUGAACUUGUGGUAAUAAUGAAACUUGAUUGAGUUGGGUUUAAAAAUGGUGUUCUUUUUUUUUUUUUUUACUAAUCUGAUUUGGUUAGAAAAAAAAAGAAAAAAGAAAAUCGACCCAAACAACUUUCUUUAAAAACUCUUUGUUUAAAUUAUAUGACUGAAAUAAAUCAAAUUAAUCCUUUGGAUUAAAAAAAAGUUAUUAAACAACUUUCAACAACGGAUCUCUUGGUUCUCGCAUCGAUGAAGAACGCAGCGAAAUGCGAUACGUAAUGUGAAUUGCAGAUUGUGAAUCAUCGAAUCUUUGAACGCAUAUUGCACUCUUUGGUAUUCCGAGGAGUAUACUUGUUUCAGUAUCAUGAAAAUCUCACAUACAAAAGAUUUUGUUUUGUUUGUGGAUUUGGAUUUGCGAUUUUUUUUUUAAAAAAAAAAAGAGUUGCUAAUCUAAAAUAGAUUUCAUGAAGCUUAAAAACGCUUUGAAUCUUUGCUUAAUAGUUUUGCUUUGUCAAAUCUUUUGCACUGAUUCAAAAAAGUGAAUUGAUUUUUACGAAAUUAAAUCUCAUUUUUUGAUCUGAAAUCAAGUAGGAUUACCCGCUGAACUUAAGCAUAUCAAUAAGCGGAGGAAAAGAAACUAACAAGGAUUCCCUCAGUAACGGCGAGUGAAGCGGGAAGAGCUCAAAUUUAAAAUCUGGCGUAUGCCCGAGUUGUAUUCUAUAGAAGUGUUUUCCUUUGAGUACCGAGAUAUAAGUCUUCUGGAAAGAAGCAUCAUAGAGGGUGAGAAUCCCGUCCAUGAUCUCGAGUGGCUCAAUUUUGUGAUACACUUUCUACGAGUCAGGUUGUUUGGGAAUGCAGCCUAAAAUGGGUGGUAAAUUUCAUCUAAAGCUAAAUAUUGGCGAGAGACCGAUAGCGAACAAGUACCGUGAGGGAAAGAUGAAAAGAACUUUGAAAAGAGAGUUAAACAGUACGUGAAAUUGUUGAAAGGGAACCGUUUGAAACCAGUCAGUAGGGUUGUAAUCAAUCUAUCUCGCGAUGGAUGCACUUGCAAGUUUACUCGUCAAUGUCAGUUUGAUGGGUUGGAAAAAGACUAAUGAAAGGUGACUAUCUUCGGAUAGUGUUAUAGUCAUUAGUGAAAUACAAUCUAUUGGACUGAGGAAUGCAGCUGAAAUGUCGGCUUCGGCUUCUGAUCAGCUUAGGUCAUUGACUUAAUGGUUUUAAAUGACCCGUCUUGAAACACGGACCAAGGAGUCUAACAUAUAUGCGAGUGUUUGAGUGGCAAACUCAUGCGCGUAAUGAAAGUGAACGUAGGUGUGAAUCUUUUUAGAGGCAACAUCGGCCGACUCUGACGUUUUUAACUGACGAGUUUGAGCAAAAGCAUAUCUGUUGGGACCCGAAAGAUGGUGAACUAUGCCUGAAUAGGGUGAAGUCAGAGGAAACUCUGAUGGAGGCUCGUAGCGAUUCUGACGUGCAAAUCGAUCGUCAAAUUUGGGUAUAGGGGCGAAAGACUAAUCGAACCAUCUAGUAGCUGGUUCCUGC